GGGGAAAGGAGUCACGGCCCGGCCAUGGCGGACGACAAGAAACUGGACAACCAAUGGCUCAAGAAUUUCAAGAACAAAGGCCCUGGCUUGGAGACAAUGAGAAGACAAUGGAAUGAAGUUGUAGUUGAAUUAAGGAAGAAUAAAAGAGAUGAACGUCUCUUAAAGAGGAGGAAUGUACCACAUGAAGAGAUCUGCGAAGACUCUGAUACAGAUGGUGAUUAUAGAGUGCAAAAUACCUCUCUAGAAGCUAUUGUACAAAAUGCUUCAAGUGAUAACCAAGGGAUUCAAUUAAGUGCAGUUCAAGCUGCUAGGAAGCUUUUUUCCAGUGAUCGAAAUCCACCAAUUGAUGACUUAAUAAAAUCUGGAAUAUUGCCUAUUUUAGUCUAUUGUCUUGAAAGAGAUGACAAUCCUUCUUUACAAUUCAAGGCUGCAUGGGCUUUGACAAACAUUGCAUCUGGAACCUCAGAACAAACUCAAGCAGUAGUUCAAUCCAGUGCUGUGCCACUUUUCCUGAGGCUUCUUCAUUCACUCCCUCAGAAUGUCUGUGAGCAAGCAGUGUGGGCAUUGGAAAAUAUCAUAGGUGAUGGGCCCCAAUAUAGAGAUUAUGUCAUAAGUCUUGGAGUUGUGAAACCCUUACUUUUCUUCAUAAGUCCUUCUAUUCCUAUAACAUUUUUAAGAAAUGUUACUUGGGUUAUGGUCAACUUAUGUCACCACAAAGACCCACUACCAACAAUGGAAACCAUUCAGGAGAUUCUUCCAGCCCUUUGUGUUUUAAUUCAUCACAUAGACAUAAAUAUAUUGGUAGAAACAGUCUGGGCCCUGUCUUACCUUACUGAUGCUGGCAAUGAACAAAUAUAAAUGGUAAGAGAUUCUGGAAUAGUUCCCGAUUUGGUUCCUCUGCUCAGUCACCAAGAAGUUAAAGUUCAGACUGCUGCACUUAGAGCUGUGGGCAACAUUGUUACUGGAACCGAUGAGCAAGCACAAGUAGUUUUGAACCAUGAUGCUCUUUCACACUUCUCAGCACUCCUGACACAUCCCAAAGAGAAAAUUAAUAAAGGAGCUGUAUGGUUCCUCUCUAACAUCACUGCAGGAAAUCAGCAGCAGGUUCAGGCAGUAAUGAUGCCAAUCUGGUACCAAUGAUAAUACACCUUUUGGAUAAGGGGGAUUUUGGCACUAAGAAAGAAGCUGCUUGGGCUGUAAGUAACUUAACAAUUAGUGGAAGGAAAGAUCAAGUGGCCUACCUUAUUCAACAAAAUGUUAUCCCACCUUUUUGCAACUUGCUGACUGUAAAAGAUGCACAAGUUGUGCAAGUAGUACUUGGUGGAUUAAGUAAUAUAUUAAAAAUGGCUGAAGAUGGGGCAGAAACCAUAGCUAACCUUAGAGAAGAAUGUGGUGGUCUGCAGAAAAUUUGAACAGCUUCAAAAUCAUGAAAAUGAAGACAUCUACAAAUGGGCCUAUGAGAUCAUUGACCAGUUCUUCCCUUCAGAUGAUAUUGAUGAAGAUCCCAGCCUUGGUCCAGAGGCAAUUCAAGGUGGAACAUUUGGUUUCAAUUCAUCUGCCAAUGUACCAACAGAAGGGUUCCAGUUUUAGAAAGAUGUUGUGGAAGUUAGGUACA